AAUAAGUGCAGCCAUGAGUUUUCGCGCCCAACUUUAAUCGUCCGUCUUAUUUGAAAUUUUUUUAUGAUUAGUAUUUUUGUUGUUAUGAUAUGAUAAAAUAUGAAUAGUACUUUACUCGUGGCUUAUUUUUUAAAGUUUUUUCAAAAAAUUUUUAAAUAAAACGAACGAUUAAAAUUGGACACGGAAACUCAUGGCUGCACUUAUU
rnacentral:pre_miRNA from 1 species